UAUUAUUAAGUAUUACCUGCUCAAUGAAUCUUUAAUAGCCGCAGAAAUUUAACUGUGCUAAGGUAGCAUAAUCAUUAGCUCUUUAAUUAAGGGCUCGUAUGAAUGGUUAAACAUUUUAUACACUAUAAUUCUUUUAAUUAAUAAAAAUUUAACUAAGAAUAAAAAUGUUCUUAUAACUUAAAUAGACGAUAAGACCCUAUUGAACUUUACUUUAGUUUAACUGGGGCAGUUAACUAAUAAUAAUCUUAAUUUUUAUAAUUUUAUAAAUACCCAAUCAAUUUGAUUUCGAAUAAGUUACCAUAGGGAUAACAGCGUAAUUUGUUUCUAAAGCUCUUAUUUAAAAACAAGAUUGCGACCUCGAUGUUGAAUUAAUAGUUCUUUUUAAAUGCAACCAUUUUAAAAGUAGGUCUGUUCGACCAUUAAAACAUUACA
rnacentral:rRNA from 1 species